UCAUCGGCUCAGGAUGAACGCUCGGCGGCGUGCUUAACACAUCGCAAGUCGAACGAACCUUCGGGUUAGUGGCGGACGGGUGAGUAACGCGUGAGAAUCUGCCCUCAGGAGGGGGACAACAGCUGGAAACGGCUGCUAAUACCCCAUAUGCCGCGAGGUGAAAUGAAUUUCGCCUGAGGAUGAGCUCGCGUCUGAUUAGCUAGUUGGUGUAGGUAAUGGCUCACCAAGGCAUCGAUCAGUAGCUGGUCUGAGAGGAUGAUCAGCCACACUGGGACUGAGACACGGCCCAGACUCCUACGGGAGGCAGCAGUGGGGAAUUUUCCGCAAUGGGCGAAAGCCUGACGGAGCAACGCCGCGUGAGGGAUGAAGGCCUCUGGGCUGUAAACCUCUUUUAUCAAGGAAGAAGAUCUGACGGUACUUGAUGAAUAAGCCACGGCUAAUUCCGUG
rnacentral:rRNA from 1 species